rnacentral:misc_RNA from 1 species
CCACCCGUGUAUACCGUACCUUGUUGCUUCGGCGGGCCCGCCGCGCAAGCGGCCGCCGGGGGGGCGUCAAACCCCCCUCCCUAGGCGAGCGCCCGCCGGAGACACCAACGUGAACACUGUCUGAAGUUUUGUUGUCUGAGUUCGAUUGUAUCGCAAUCAGUUAAAACUUUCAACAAUGGAUCUCUUGGUUCCGGCAUCGAUGAAGAACGCAGCGAAAUGCGAUAAUUAAUGUGAAUUGCAGAAUUCAGUGAAUCAUCGAGUCUUUGAACGCACAUUGCACCCCCUGGUAUUCCGGGGGGUAUGCCUGUCCGAGCGUCAUUGCUGCCCUCAAGCACGGCUUGUGUGUUGGGUCGUCGUCCCCCCUCCCGGGGGGGACGGGCCCGAAAGGCAGCGGCGGCACCGCGUCCGGUCCUCGAGCGUAUGGGGCUUUGUCACCCGCUCUUGUAGGCCCGGCCGGCGCUGGCCGACGCUGAAAAGCAACCAACUAUUUCUCCAGGUUGACCUCGGAUCAGGUAGGGAUACCCGCUGAACUUAAGCAUAUCAAUAAGC